rnacentral:rRNA from 1 species
UACGUAGGGUGCAAGCGUUGUCCGGAAUUAUUGGGCGUAAAGAGCUCGUAGGCGGUUUGUCGCGUCUGCUGUGAAAACUCGGGGCUUAACCCCGGGCCUGCAGUGGGUACGGGCAGACUAGAGUGCGGUAGGGGAGACUGGAAUUCCUGGUGUAGCGGUGAAAUGCGCAGAUAUCGGGAGGAACACCGGUGGCGAAGGCGGCGACCUGGGACGAUACUGACGCUGAGGUGCGAAAGCGUGGGGAGCAAACAGG